rnacentral:rRNA from 1 species
UAACACAUGCAAGUCGAGGGGCAGCACAAGGAGCAAUCUGAGGUGGCGACCGGCGCACGGGUGAGUAACACGUAUGCAACCUGCCUGUAAGCGGGGAAUAACCCGUUGAAAGACGGACUAAUACCGCAUAAUACUAAAUUACUGCAUGGUAAUUUAUUUAAACAUUUAUGGCUUACAGAUGGGCAUGCGCAUGAUUAGCUAGUUGGAGAGGUAACGGCUCCCCAAGGCAACGAUCAUUAGGGGUUCUGAGAGGAAGGUCCCCCACACUGGUACUGAGACACGGACCAGACUCCUACGGGAGGCAGCAGUGAGGAAUAUUGGUCAAUGGACGAGAGUCUGAACCAGCCAAGUCGCGUGCAGGAAGAAUGUUCCCUAUGGAUUGUAAACUGCUUUUGCAGGGGAAUAAAGUGCAUCACGUGUGAUGUUUUGUAUGUACUCUGCGAAUAAGGAUCGGCUAACUCCGUGCCAGCCGCGGC